CACCCAGCGCAGCGGUGUCCAGUGCCCCUACACCGAGCACCAUGCACUGUCUCUACACAAGAUCCUGGAGUUCCAGCCUCUGUCCCCAGAACCACUGCAGAUGUGACUAGUCCUGAGUCUUGCGGUAUUGUCUCGACUGCUCCUUUCGGGGGCAUCAUUGCAAGCUCCAUCUGCAGUUCGACUGCAUCGUUUGUGGCCGGAGACCUUGCCGCCAGAGGAUCACAGGUGGAUUGCCAGCAGGCUUUUCAAAACGGGGUCCAAGGGAAAACCAGAGCUUCGAGACGACCUACAGCUCUGGUAUUACCCACCACAGCCAGCACUUAUCUACAACCAGGCUCCAGCUCCAGACAGAUUUUUUAGUCAUGCUCUGUUGCUGUGGAUGCCGUACAAGCUUUGGAAGAUAAAGGCUGUCUGUCCCAAUUCUGCCUGCGGUCAGCAUCAGCUGACUGGAGGCGGUCUGCACAAAAGGGCACGGCAGGUUCUGGACAUCGAUAGGAUGUACAACAUGGUCACAGAAACCCUCAUCUGUACCAAGCCUCGCAUGUGUCCUGGAGUCAGACCAUCCUGCAACAGCUGGA